rnacentral:lncRNA from 1 species
UUUAAAACAAAUUAGAAUCAAACUUUCGAAUUUACUACCCCAAACAAAUUGCACUGCAAAUUACCAUAAUCAGAAUUCAUCAGGUCAUGUACGUACUACAUAACAUUUACUUAGGAUAUGAAAUGGUGAGAUCGAUAAAUUCGAAAUCAUCAUUAUAUUGUUGUUCUUAUUACAUUAAUAUAGAUAUAUGUAGCCACUAUAUAUACCUAUUAGAGUGAAUACGAUACCAAUGCCCCACAAUUUGUUGUCCUGACACAAUCGACCGGAUUCGCUGCGUUGUAGUCAAAACAGAUGACGACGUCCAGCAGAUACGCGAUCCGCCCGUCAUACUUGCACAUAAGAAGAGGUGUUUUCCCAGUUGUUUGAGAAAAUAGAUAUUGUGCAUUGUAGGUCAACCAUAAUCUAUGAGCUUCGUGGAAGUAUUGUGUCUGGGAAAAUUUAUUGUCCGAGCACCUGCCGUGCUUGUUGUACUCAUGCUCCCAGAAAUCCAUAUUUGUCCGUCUAAUGUUGAAGCUGGGCCAGGAAUUGGACAAAAGUAAUUGCAGAUUAUGAUCAGCAAUCAUCUGAAGCACAAAGACGAGAAGUUACAAGCAUUUCAGAGAGCUGCAGGAGAAAAAAAACAAACUGAAAUGAGUAUAUAUAUUCAAUGUGUACCUGACUUCUGUCGAAUAGGGUCCAAGCGCAGAGUAUAGGUGCAGAUGGAUCGGUAAAGUUGCUCGGCCAGAGGCCGUGUGUCGUAAAGGUAUGCCGCAGAACUGGUUGGUUUCCACAAAUUCCAUUCCCAAGGCAGAAGACGUAUUGGAAGAUAUCAUAUGGUGUGGCAGCAUUGCUCUUUCCGACAUAAGUGACGAAGCAAAGAGCGAUGACAACGAGAACAUGUUGUGCGGAAGCGUCAAAUAUGAAACCAAUAAACUACAACGGCAAAAUAUGAUAAGACAAAUAAUCCAAAUGACACAAGGAUUUAUACUGGUUCGGCGUAAUCCUACGUCUAGUUUCGAGACGGCGAGGAAAUUCCACUAAUAUAAAAGGAGAUUACAAAUAGAGUUCAACACUCAAACCCAAAUCCGACAUACACCCAAUAGCUUUCACUCAUACAAAGAACAAAUGGAGAAGAAGAAACACAUACCAAAUCCUUCUCUCCCAAAAGCCACAAAAUUUAGCAAUAUAUCUUUGAAUGAAUGAUUGCACAAAUGAAGAACAGUAAAACAGCAGCACUCAAUUUUCUUCUCUAUCGGCUGCUCUCUGUUUUCUGCUAUCUGCUGCCGCUGAGUUUCUGUUCUCUUUUUUCUGCUAUCUGCUGCCGCUAAGUUUCUGCUCUCUUUACUGACCAAAAGGCAUGAAUUUGCCUUAUAUAUAAGGCUGGUGCCUUUUAAUUAAAACCCUAGCUGCAAUGUGGCUUUCAAAUGGGUAACAAAAGGCCAAACCUAUUUGGGCUUGAAACAAAAAACUAAAGGCCCAAGAAGUAUUGAGCCACAAAAUCCAAACAGAACAAUCUUGAAGAAGUGCAUGGUUGUCAAGCAAUUAUCAAAAGAACAAAGGGAGGGAGGGAGGAUGGGAUGAGAAAAUAAUAAGGAAAGCUAAAGAGUGAAUGAAGUGUGAAUUUUCAAAAGAAAUGAAGAGGUGUUUAAAUAGUUAGAGUUGAGGUUAAGGGUAGGGUUUGGAGAAAUUAAUUAAGGUGAAGCUAACUAGCAAAGAUGAUAAUAAUUAAGGUCAAGUAAGUGUGAAACAGAUCCUGAACUAGGGAAUGCCUCUUUCUUGUUAUGCAAGGCUUUGCAUUCUCAUAUGCAUGCUAUAAAGGGUGGUAACCGUGUAGUGGUUGAUUCAUCAACAACCCAAUCAACCCAAUUAUAGCGGUUCCUCAUAUAUCAGAUUCAGACCCCAAGCAAGCUAAUAGUCUCAAUUUUUAGAUUAUAAUUCUAUUUCAGAAAGCCAUUCAGGACCACGCUAGCUAAAUAUGGUUCCAAUCGAAUAUAAACAGAAACGAUUUGGACAUUGUUUAUGUAUCUUAUCUUGUAAAUUGAAGUUUCAACACUACUACCUUCUAGCAGUGGUAAUUCUUAUCUUUGAAAUUUUUGGAGCUCUCCUCUCCUCUUCAUGGUUUCUAUUCAAACUUACUUAUCCCCGGUUGCAGAUAAUUAAUUAACUUGUGGAUUAAGUAAAUAGCUAUUUCAAUUUGCUGCUACUCACCCUGGAGCUAGCCUUCGGACCGGGGAAAAUCAUAUUGUCCUAUAGACACCCGCUUCGUCGUCGCUGCAAGGCGACACCGCAGGGUGGAUAUCUGCGGGUACUCAUCAUUUCAUUUCAUGGUUGUAUUGCUUCACAUUUGCAGAUUGUUAACACAACAUGCCUUCUGUUUAGUUAAUUUCAUUAAUCAAACAUGAUCAAAUAUACAACAUACAAAUUGUUAGAAUUGAGGUCAAGUGUAGAGUGUAGAGAAAGAUUAAGUUGAAGCUAGCUAGCAAAGGUGAUAAUAAUUAAGGUCAAGUGAGUGUGAACACAUUCGGAAAUUAGGGAAUGCAUCUUUCUUGUUGCCCACGGCAAUGCGUUCUCAUGCUAUAAAGGGUAGUAACUGUGUAGUGGACGAUUCAUCAUCAACCCAAUUAUAUAAAGUGGGUUCAUCAUAUAUCAGAUUCAAACCCUAAGCUAGCUAGUAGUCCAAAUUUUAGAUUAUAAUUCUGUUUCAAAAAUCCAUUCAGGACAACGCUAGCUAAACAUGGUUCCGAACGAAAAAUACAGAAACGAUUUAGGCAUUGCUUGCGUAUCUCAUCUUGUAAAAAACGUACAACUUACAAUACACUUAAUUUCGAACACAUUGUUUGAGUAUCUCAUCUUCUUCGUUGAAAGGCAACACCGCAGGGUGGAUAUCUGCGGGUAGCCAUCAUUUCGUUUCUUGGUUGUAUUGCUUCAUAUACUCGUAAAUUUUUAUCGACUCCAAGUUUCUUAAAAGACAUCCAUAAUUUGAACAACAAAAGGAUUUCAUUACUUUCGAUAUCUACGUACACAUGUACUUGUUGUUGCCUGCCUUCCGUGACCGAAACCAUACUCUUCACAUAUACAACGGGCGAAUGAUUUGCUUUGCACAGUGGCAAAUAAUACGGUUGCGGAGGAAAAAUGGGAUUGAUCCUUACAGCACACUUUGAAUGGGAAGAUUUUUAAGCUUCUUAGUACGGAAGUUAUAGCAGACUAUGCCUCCAUUUUCCUCUACUGUAAGAACCUCUUCGCUUUUUCCACAUUGGCAAGCCUCCAUUUCCCUCUACUGUAAGAACCUCGUCGCUUUUCCACAUUGCCAAUGUGGAGUACAGGGGCAAGAGGGACCUUGAGAAUGAUGGGAUCUUGGCAGCAAAGUGUUUUGUCCAAACACCACCCGCAUUUUUCGGACCACCACCAGAAUCAUCAUCCAUUAGCCACAUUUCAAAGGGUGGUGUAUCACCAUCUUCAAAGGUAUUACAAUUCAAGCGAAAGAGAGCGAUGGAUUCAUUCCACACCUUAAGACGCAUUUCAAUACCAAAUCCUUCGAAAUUGUUGAACUCUACCAUCUCAUGUGGUAACAGUAUGUCAUGAAACACCUCACGACUCAUGUCAAACCAAACGAUCACUCGCCUAAUUUUUUCUUGCUCGGGAUAGGUGACAUCAUAGCUAUCGGCAAAUUCCUUUUGUUGCUCACUUCCUAUCCAAUAACACAUCCCCUUGAAGUACACCUGAAAAGUUUCAGGCCAAAGGAAAGUAGUUUCCGUUUCUAAAGAAUAAGGCUCGAUCUCCCUCCAAGAAUUAGUUCCUAGGGUAUACACUACUACCUUGGGAGGAUGAAUAAUCAAAUGUUCUGUGCCGCCAUGCAAUUCUGAACCAGAAAAUCCAAUUUUGACAACUUUGUAAUCUUUAGAUUUAGGAUCAUAGCCUAAUCCCAAAACAUCGUUGAACCGAUUUGUUAGUGGCAUGUAAGGCAUAUCCAACCACCAAGGAUGAGGAUCCCUAAAGGAUGCUUCGUCGAACCAAUCUGGACUGUAUGUCUCCGAGGGAAGGACCCUGAAUUCCUGAAUUGCCGGAUUCCACAAAAGCACCUUAGUAGAAUUAGGACGAGCUAGACAAAUGAUCCCAUCACAAUGACCUAUAACAUGAAAUGAUUGAUCAUCUCCAAUCUCCAGACUCAUAGAAAGAGGAAUAUUGACGUCCUCGAUCCCAGAAAGAGUGCUACACUUGUGCACACCACCAUCGUCAUCAUCAACAAUGACAUUGUCAAAAGUAAGUACUGAGAAUACGGAUUGAAAUUUGUCCCCAUUUGGGUCCUCCGUAGAAGGGACUAACAUUCGCUUCAGAAGGACACGAGUGGACUGAUCGUCCAGCAAGGAAUGGGAGAGGUGCUUGUCGACGAACCUGGGGUCGUUGAUGAGAGCAUGCCACCAUUUAGCGACGCGCACUUGAAUCGCAUCAGAGAUUUCGGAGGCAGAGUUGACAGAAUAUUCACCAACAAAUCUUGUCCGAUUUUGGAUGUUUGUUUCGUCAUUUGUGCAAUGUCAAUUAUGGACCUCACCCUUGUUCUACGAUACACACAAAGACCAACACACAACAAGAUCAGAAGAUUCCACAAUUACACAUUCUCUCUAAUUAAGCAUAUUCUCAAAAGCUCAUCAUCAUCUGGCAUUGCUAUUUCUUUGUUAAAAAUAAAAAAAAAACUCAUUGAUACAUUCAAAAAUUUAGCCCUACUGAAAAUGCCAAUUGAAAUUCAAAAGCGAAAUAAGAAUCGAAGCAAAAAAAGUAUCCUUCUUUCAUUUAAAAAAAAAAUAUAAAAACUGAAAUUGAAUAAUAAAAAGUUAGAAAUGAGGUUACCUUGUUGUAGACUAGGCAGUAGGAAGAGGAAGAGACCGAAGCAGAAGCAGCGCUGUGAGUGAGAGGGAAAGGGGCAGACUCGGCGCAGAAAAUGUAUUUUCUGCGUUUUGUUCGUGCAGCUGCGUGCGGUAAUGCGAUGGCAGAGAGGGGUUUUUAUUUUGAUUCUUGUGCGACCGUUUUUCAACACCCUCCCAAUUUUACGAACUUACCCUCCCAAAUUCGGCUGCAGUUUGCUGUUCUCUUAACUUUUUAACAGAUGUCUAUAAACUUAACUUUUAAUUUAACGGUGCUAUCUUUUCAAAAGGACUAAUAUAACAAAUAAAAAGAAAAAUAAAAGAAAAAACAAAAGGUGCCUAACUCUCCACCUACCCCAAUUACGCGCUAUUUAAUUUGGUGUUAUCACUGUUUAAUUUAACGAUGUUAUCUUUUAAGGGAUGCUGUUGUUUUUUUUUAAUUUUUAAUUUUUUUUAAAUGUUAACACUGUUGAAUUUGGUAUUAAGUUGAAGCAUGUGUCACUAAGUUAGAAAGAAGACAUGACGAAGACACUAGUUUAUGGACAUCAGACUCCUGGGCCUCAAUUUGUAAAUCAGAUUAAUAGUCUCCGUGGUGAUAGAGUAUUCGGAGAAAGUCUAUGUAGUAAAAAGAUUGCCGAGCUCUUCCAGUGGCUCUACUCUAAGCCCAGCCGUGAUGCCUGCUCCCUCGUUUUGCAAGCGCUAGCUCGCCUUCGAGUGCCUCAGCAGCACCGCCCUUUGCAUUGGCGCCACGGGUAGCCCGGACCUUGUCGUCGGCCUCCUCGCUGCAAAUUCCACAACGUCCGCGCGAUUCACAUUGACGAGCACCUUAACCUUUCAUCGAUGAGGCUGCAUUCUGCCAAUGGCUUUGACGACGACGUGCUUGAUUUGAACACUACCCAAACUUUUUUGUUUUUGAACAAAUGAUAUUAUCUACACACCAGUGAUGAUUACAACCACCGGAGUUUAUCUUUUAUUGACCCUAAAAACUAUUUGGGCCUAAACACCUUCCCAUGUGUGCCUUUUAGCCACCAACAUAAUCCAUCAGCUAGCUUGAUUUGCCCUUCAUAGUAGUUGUUUUUGUUGUUUAGUUAAGGAUUUCUAGAAAUCAGAAACUUUUGUUUUUUUUUGUUCCCUCAUUUCUGGCUUGUUAAUACAAGCUAUCGUUGCAUAUAAAAAUAAAAUAAAAAGGACGUAGCCUUAUGCCAACCAUAUUUUUUUUUAAAUUAUUAUUAUUUGUCACAUCCCAGCCCGAGCCCUCACCACAUCUCGGGCUCGACUCCACUGUAGCACAAUAUUAUUCGUUUUGGGGCCCUGAUCACACCCUCAAGGUUUUUAUUUUUGGGAACUCCACACGAAACUUCCCAGUGGGUCACCCAUCAUGGGAUUCCUUUUUGCGCGAACUCGCUGAACUUUGGAGUUUCGAUGAAACCCGAAGCCAGUGAGCUCCCAAAAUGCCUCGUGCUAGGUAGAGAUGAGAAUAUACAUAUAAGGCUUGCAGGAUCCAUUCCUUGGGCGAUGUGGGAUGUUACAAAUCCACCCCCCUUAGUGGCCCGACAUCCUUGUCGGUACACACUUCCGGCCAGGGAUUGGUUCUGAUACCAAAUUGUCACAUCCCGGCCUGGGGCCCCACCACCACCACAUCCCGGGCUCAACUUCACGGUAGCACGAUACUGUCCGCUUUGGGCCUCGACCACGCCCCCACGAUUUUUUGUUUUUGGGAACGAGAACUUCCCAGUGGGUUUACCCAUCCUAGGAUUGCUCUCGUGAACUCUCGCUUAACUUCGAAGUUCCGAUAGAACCCGAAGCCAAUGAGCUCCCAAAAUGCCUCGUGUUAGGUAGAGAGAAUAUACAUAUAAGGCUUAGAGGAUCCAUUCCCUGGGCGAUGUGGGAUGUGUUACAUUAUUAAAUGGAUGAUUUAAAACUUUUAUAAUAACUUAGAUGAGGAGGGAUGUUUGAACUUGACACGCAAGGUAGAAAUCAACUUCCAAUCCACUAGGAUAUUUGGACUACAUGCAUUAUGCCCAAAACAAUACAUAUCAAGGAUUGGUAGCCUUACUCGAUAAUUUCCUGUAAAACGGUCUUUGAAUCUCAAAAAUUGCUAAAAUUUAUUUUUAUUUUAAUACAUUCGAUAUUUUCUAUACUAAAGGAUCGAAGAAUGGCCAAAACCUCACAGUGGCUAGUAAUAUUGCUUUUGUUUGAAUUCGCCUUUAGUCACAUGUAUAAGGAAAUUUAAAUUUUGCUCAUUCACUAAUCACCCCGAGAAUCAUAUUCAUAAAGUAAUUAUCCAAAAUUUAAAACAAAACACCAAUAAAUAAUAAUCCAAAUACAUAGAAAAAGAGUAAUGCUAGGAAGGCUAAAUUUGUAGACAAAAUUUGCAAACCAAAUUAUGUGUCACCAAUAAGGAAUGAUUACGUUCAUCCAUGUUUAAAUUAAUGAUCUAAUCAACAACUUCGAUGUCAUUUAAAUUCAUAAAAUUGUCUUACUCCAUAGAAAAUUGUUCAAAAACUUGAACCAAAUAUUAAGAGGGCGUUUAGCCACUAGGGGGAACUCAGACACAUGUUGGCCCUUGUUUAAAAGUUCUAAUCUUCCAUCGGUGUAGAUGACUUUUGAAAAUCAAAAAACUACACAGUGGUAUCUUCGGGAUUAUCAACUUGAACAAAGUUAGUGUGUAUGACUUUACGACGUGAAUGAUACUUAGCAACAACAUCAACAAGUGCUUGACAAAUGCAUGACCAAUAAUCCUUGGAACCACAAUGAUAACAUAUGUCUAUUUCUAUGGUGGUUGUGCCUUACCUUUAUUCUUGAAGUUGAAAGUCUUGAGAUCUAGAGAAUCGCGCUUUGAAACCACAACUGUAACACAUGUCUAUUGGACCAGAAAAGUGUGGCAAGCGUUGUUCGUUAUGGGAAGCUGAGAUAUCCACCAACACAUGAAGCCACAGGGUAUUCUCUUGUUUACAAUCAGCUCUCCCCUUUUGAAGUCCAAAAUUAUACUUCCGGAAUCAUCCACCAUGUUCGUCUCACAAGUUUGAUUUCGUUUGCUUCUUAUUUUCUUCAAAGUUUCAAUGGAGAAUUACAAAGUUGGGUUUUGCUGAAAUGACUGAACUUUUAAAUCCCCCAAACAUAAGUUGUGAUGGAAUGUGGUUCUUCUGAUAAGUUGGUGAUCUAAUUGUUGUUUCGAUGUAGGGUUGAAACUGAAUACACUGUACUUUUAUCGAUGCGGGGAUCCUUCUAUACAUGCAAUGAGUCAAAUCCACCAUUUUCAGGACUAUCCCAGUUUUCUGGUCCUCGGAGCUACCCUGAGAGAAUAGCGGUUAUGGGAGACCUUGGCCUUACUUACAACACAACUACCACAAUAAGUCACUUGAAAAGUAACAAUCCUGAUCUUGUUCUAUUGAUUGGUGAUGUUACUUAUGCAAACCUCUACCUCACAAAUGGAACUGGCUCUGACUGCUAUUCUUGCUCAUUUCCAAACUCUCCAAUACAUGAGACCUAUCAGCCUCGAUGGGAUUAUGGGGAUGGUUAAAACAUAAAUUGCUUUAUUUCUAUCGCAUACAAUGGCUGCUGUAAAUUAUGGCAUAGAACUUGUUUUCUUAUGUUGUCAUUGCUGGGUAAUUUGUGUAGGUAUAUGCAGAGUUUAGUGUCCAAAGUUCCAAUAAUGGUUGUUGAAGGGAACCAUGAAAUAGAAGAACAGGCUGAAAAUAAGACUUUUGAGGCUUAUAGUUCUCGUUUGAGAAAACAAAUUUAAUGUGAAAUUAAUUGGUACUUGGUUCCCUCAUUGCUAAAACACAUAAUACAAAUCUUAUUUGAAACGCUAUCAGAAACAAUGACCUUAUCUUGAAACUCGUAUCACAACAGUACCAUUUGGUUCCGAUCCCAAGCAUGUUUUUAUUAAGUUGUCCUUGGUGUCUAUGAAUGACGAACAAUUUUCCUCAUUGUAAUUAAUUAUCUUUUUGCUUUAAAGUGCACUGAAUAUUCUUCAAUUUUCCAAAACAUUUGUAAUAUUGUGCCAAUUAUAUUAUAUAUUUGCAGGAUGCAUAGCAAUUUGGUGUCAGUAAAACUUUUGUCUGCCGCAUAUUUGAUCAUGUUUUAACUUCGGAAUUUCAUGGUCUAGUUAAUUUUGACGGAUUUUGAAAGGCUUUUAAAACAAAUUAGAAUCAAACUUUCGAAUUUACUACCCCAAACAAAUUGCACUGCAAAUUACCAUAAUCAGAAUUCAUCAGGUCAUGUACGUACUACAUAACAUUUACUUAGGAUAUGAAAUGGUGAGAUCGAUAAAUUCGAAAUCAUCAUUAUAUUGUUGUUCUUAUUACAUUAAUAUAGAUAUAUGUAGCAGCCACUAUAUAUACCCAUUAGAGUGAAUACGAUACCAAUGCCCCACAAUUUGUUGUCCUGACACAAUCGACCGGAUUCGCUGCGUUGUAGUCAAAACAGAUGACGACUUCCUGGAGAUACACGAUCCUCCCAUCAUACUUGCACAUAAGAAGAGGUGUUUUCCCUCCUAUAGUCCGUCGAAUGGCCGAUUCAAGGUCGAUGUAAUCAUAUUGAUGUCCUGGUACAAUCCCAGUUGUUUGAGAAAAUAGAUAUUGUGCAUUGUAGGUCAACCAUAAUCUAUGAGCUUCGUGGAAGUACUGUGUCUGGGAAAAUUUAUUGUCCGAGCACCUGCCGUGCUUGUUGUACUCAUGCUCCCAGAAAUCCAUAUUUGUCCGUCUAAUGUUGAAGUUGGGCCAGGAAUUGGACAAAAGUAAUUGCAUUAUGAUCAGCAUUCAUCUGAAGCACAAAGACGAGAAGUUACAAGCAUUUCAGAGAGCUGCAGGAGAAAAAAAACAAACUGAAAUGAGUAAAUAUAUUCAAUGUGUACCUGUUUUCUGUCGAAUAGCGUGCCAGCGCAGAGUAUAGAUGCAGAUGGAUCGGUAAAGUUGCUCGGCCAGAGGCCGUGUGUCGUAAAGGUAUGCCGCAGAACUGGUGGGUUUCCACAAAUUCCAUUCCCAAGGCAGAAGACGUAUGGGGAUUGCUGGACGAAUUGGAAGAUAUCAUAUGGUGUGGCAGCAUUGCUCUUUCCGAGAUAAGUGACGAAGCAAAGAGCGAUGACAACGAGAACAAUCUUGAAGAAGUGCAUGGUUGUCAAGCAAUUAUCAAAAGAACAAAGGGAGGGAGGGAGGAUGGGAUGAGAAAUAAUAAGGAAAGCUAAAGAGUGAAUGAAGUGUGAAUUUUCAAAGAAAUGAAGAGGUGUUUAAAUAGUUAGAGUUGAGGUUAAGGGUAGGGUUUGGAGAAAUUAAUUAAGGUGAAGCUAACUAGCAAAGAUGAUAAUAAUUAAGGUCAAGUAAGUGUGAACAGAUCCUGAACUAGGGAAUGCCUCUUUCUUGUUAUGCAAGGCUUUGCAUUCUCAUAUGCAUGCUAUAAAGGGUGGUAACCGUGUAGUGGUUGAUUCAUCAACAACCCAAUCAACCCAAUUAUAGCGGUUCCUCAUAUAUCAGAUUCAGACCCCAAGCAAGCUAAUAGUCUCAAUUUUUAGAUUAUAAUUCUAUUUGAGAAAGCCAUUCAGGACCACGCUAGCUAAAUAUGGUUCCAAUCGAAUAUAAACAGAAACGAUUUGGACAUUGUUUAUGUAUCUUAUCUUGUAAAUUGAAGUUUCAACCACUACCUUCUAGCAGUGGUAAUUCUUAUCUUUGAAAUUUUGGAGCUCUCCUCUCCUCUUCAUGGUUUCUAUUCAACUUACUUAUCCCGGUUGCAGAUAAUUAAUUAACUUGUGGAUUAAGUAAAUAGCUAUUUCAAUUUGCUGCUACUCACCCUGGAGCUAGCCUUCGGACCGGGGAAAUCAUAUUGUCCUAUAGACACCCGCUUCGUCGCUGCAAGGCGACACCGCAGGGUGGAUAUCUGCGGGUACUCAUCAUUUCAUUUCAUGGUUGUAUUGCUUCACAUUUGCAGAUUGUUAACACAACAUGCCUUCUGUUUAGUUAAUUCAUUAAUCAAACAUGAUCAAAUAUACAACAUACAAAUUGUUAGAAUUGAGGUCAAGUGUAGAGUGUAGAGAAAGAUUAAGUUGAAGCUAGCUAGCAAAGGUGAUAAUAAUUAAGGUCAAGUGAGUGUGAACACAUUCGGAAUUAGGGAAUGCAUCUUUCUUGUUGCCCACGGCAAUGCAUUCUCAUGCUAUAAAGGGUAGUAACUGUGUAGUGGAUGAUUCAUCAUCAACCCAAUUAUAUAAAGUGGUUCAUCAUAUAUCAGAUUCAAACCCUAAGCUAGCUAGCGGUCCAAAUUUUAGAUUAUAAUUCUGUUUCAAAAAUCCAUUCAGGACAACGCUAGCUAAACAUGGUUCCGAACGAAAAAAUACAGAAACGAUUUAGGCAUUGCUUGCGUAUCUCAUCUUGUAAAAAUGUACAACUUACAAUACACUUAAUUUCGAACAUUGUUUGUGUAUCUCAUCUUCUUCGUUGAAAGGCAACACCGCAGGGUGGAUAUCUGCAGGUAGCCAUCAUUUCGUUUCUUGGUUGUAUUGCUUCAUAUUUGCAGAUUGUUGAUACCACAUGCCUUUUCCGUUUAGUUAAUUCAUUAAUAAAAAAUUAUCAAAUAUACUCGUAAAUUUUUAUCGACUCCAAGUUUCUUAAGGACAUCCAUAAUUUGGACAACAAAAGGAUUUCAUUACUUUCGAUAUCUACGUACACAUGUACUUGUUGUUGCCUUCCGUGACCGAAACCAUACUCUUGACAUAUACAAUGGGCGAAUGAUUUGCUUUGCACAGUGGCAAAUAAUACGGUUGCGGAGGAAAAAUGGGAUUGAUCCUUACAGCACUUUGAAUGGGAAGAUUUUUAAGCUUCUUAGUACGGAAGUUAUAGCAGACUAUGCCUCCAUUUUCCUCUACUGUAAGAACCUCGUCGCUUUUCCACAUUGGCAAGCCUCCAUUUCCCUCUACUGUAAGAACCUCGUCGCUUUUCCACAUUGCCAAUGUGGAGUACAGGGGCAAGCCGGACCUUGAGAAUGAUGGGAUCUUGGCAGCAAAGUGUUUUGUCCAAACACCACCCGCAUUUUUCGGACCACCACCAGAAUCAUCAUCCAUUAGCCACAAUUCAAAGGGUGGUGUAUCACCAUCUUCAAAGGUAUUACGAUUCAAGCGAAAGAGAGCGAUGGAUUCAUUCCACACCUUAAGACGCAUUUCAAUACCAAUUCCUUCGAAAUUGUUGAACUCUACCAUCUCAUGUGGUAACAGUAUGUCAUGAAACACCUCACGACUCAUGUCAAACAAAACGAUCACUCGCCUAAUUUUUUUCUUGCUCGGGAUAGGUGACAUCAUAGCUAUCGGCAAAUUCCUUUUGUUGCUCACUUCCUAUCCAAUAACACAUCCCCUUUGAAGUACACCUGAAAAGUUUCAGGCCAAAGGAAAGUAGUUUCCGUUUCUAAAGAAUAAGGCUCGAUCUCCCUCCAAGAAUUAGUUCCUAGGGUAUACACUACUACCUUGGGAGGAUGAAUAAUCAAAUGUUCUGUGCCGCCAUGCAAUUCUGAACCAGAAAAUCCAAUUUUGACAACUUUGUAAUCUUUAGAUUUAGGAUCAUAGCCUAAUCCCAAAACAUCGUUGAACCGAUUUGUUAGUGGCAUGUAAGGCAUAUCCAACCACCAAGGAUGAGGAUCCCUAAAGGAUGCUUCGUCGAACCAAUCUGGACUGUAUGUCUCCGAGGGAAGAAGGACCCUGAAUUCCUGAAUUGCCGGAUUCCACAAAAGCACCUUAGUAGAAUUAGGACGAGCUAGACAAAUGAUCCCAUCACAAUGACCUAUAACAUGAAAUGAUUGAUCAUCUCCAAUCUCCAGACUCAUAGAAAGAGGAAUAUUGACGUCCUCGAUCCCAGAAAGAGUGCUACACUUGUGCACACCAUCAUCUCGUCAUCAUCAACAAUGACAUUGUCAAAAGUAAGUACUGAGAAAUACGGAUUGAAAUUUGUGUCCCCAUUUGGGUCCUCCGUAGAAGGGACUAACAUUCGCUUCAGAAGGACACGAGUGGACUGAUCGUCCAGCAUGGAAUGGGAGAGGUGCUUGUCGACGAACCUGGGGUCGUUGAUGAGAGCAUGCCACCAUUUAGCGACGCACUUGAAUCGCAUCAGAGAUUUCGGAGGCAGAGUUGACAGAAUAUUCACCAACAAAUCUUGUCCGAUUUUGGAUGUUUUGUUCGUCAUUUGUGCAAUGUCAAUUAUGGACCUCACCCUUGUUCUACGAUACACACAAAGACCAACACAACAAGAUCAGAAGAUUCCACAAAAGCUCAUCAUCAUCUGGCAUUGCUAUUUCUUGUUAAAAAAAAAAACUCAUUGAUACAUUCAAAAAUUUAGCCCUACUGAAAAUGCCAAUUGAAAUUCAAAAGCGAAAUAAGAAUCGAAGCAAAAAAAGUAUCCUUCUUUCAUUUAAAAAAAAAUAUAAAAACUGAAAUUGAAUAAUAAAAAGUUAGAAAUGAGGUUACCUUGUUGUAGACUAGGCAGUAGGAAGAGGAGAGAGAGACCGAAGCAGAAAGCAGCGCUGUGAGUGAGAGGGAAAGGGGCAGACUCGGCGCAGAAAAUGUAUUUUCUGCGUUUUGUUCGUGCAGCUGCGUGCGAUAAUGCGAUGGCAGAGAGGGGUUUUUAUUUUGAUUCUUGUGCGACCGAUUUCCACACCCUCCCAAAUUUACGAACUUACGCUCCCAAAUUCGGCCGCGGUUUGCAGUCUUCAAUUCCGUGUCUUAAUUGUGUAUGUUCUCUUAACUUUUUAACAGAUGUCUAUAAACUUAACUUUUAAUUUAACGGUGCUAUCUUUUUCAAAAGACUAAUAUAACAAAUAAAAAGAAAUAAAAGAAAAACAAAAGGUGCCUAACCCUCCACCUACCCCAUAACACUAUUGAAUUGGUGUUAUCACUGUUUAAUUUAACGGUGUUAUCUUUUUAGGGGAUACUGUCGUUUUUCUUUAAUUUUUAGUUUUUUUCUUCAAAUGUUAACACUGUUGAAUUGGUAUUAAGUUGAAGCAUGAGUCACUAAGUUAGAAAGAAGACAUGACGAAGACACUAGUUUAUGGACAUCAGACUCCUAGGCCUUAAUUUGUAAAUCAGAUUAAUAGUCUCUGUGGUGAUAGAGUAUUCGGAGGAAAGUCUAUGUAGUAAAAAGAUUGCCGAGCUCUUCCAGCGGCUCUACUCCAAGCCCAGCCGUGACGCCUACUCCCUCGUUUGCAAGCGCUAGCUCGCCCUCAAGCGCCUCAGCAGCACCGCCCUUUGCAUUGGCGGCCGACCGGUAUAUCGAUAGCUUAUUUGCUGGGUUCGUUAGGCAAGUGGGCAAGAAGAUUCGCCUACAGUAGCUGAUGCAGAUUCAGAAUUGUUAUUCUUGGGACUCGACCCAAAGACACAUCUGUUCUCGAAGUGCGUGACGUUUCGUGUGCUUGGGCGAGACCCACUCUUAUUUUUUAGCUUUGGUUUUCAGUAUAAGUAUUUUAACUUCAUUUCCUCUAGUUAUUUGUUUUUGUCGUUAUAAAUGUUUUUGGAAAAGUAUUUCUGUUUUCAUUUUUAAGUUGAUUCGAGCUUUUGAUCUAUAUGUUAGUACAUAUCUAUUUUGAUGUUAUCUGGCCUUAAAUUAUUUUGUGUUUUCGACUUUAUAUUUUAUUAAAGUAUGUUUUCUACUUUUACACUGAUGGGGAAAGAAAGUAUGAGCCUGGGGGCACGAAAGAUGGAAUCAUUGCAGCUGAUUGCGACGGCGUGGCAUUUUCCCUUUUGUGUAACCGCUCUUACCUAAUAUCUUCGUUACAUAUAUGUAUAUUAUUCUUCUUCCUAUUUUCGAAUAUUUUCAGUCUAGUCAGUGAUUUUAAAUUUCGAGGACGAAAUUAUUUUAAGGGGGGUAGAUUGUUACAACCACCCCCAAAUAAUUACACCAUUUGUUAUUUCCACCCCCAGCUGCCACGUGUCAAUCAUUAAACCUCCCCUCUUUUCCCUCUUUAUGUCCCCUCACCCCCGUGACCUUCUUCUUCUUCGUCUCUCUCUCCCGAAGCUCUCUCAACUCUCCAUGUAGCUCUCUCUCUCAACCUCUCGCAUCUCUCUCUCUCCCUGGACUCACUAGAACCUUAGCACCUUCAGGAGAGGCUUGUAGCAAGCCCAGGAUCCCUUUGCCCGCGAGAUCGAAGACACGGAGCAAAGCUCCGAUGAGCUUUCUUCCUUUUUAAGUGGGGGUAAGUCUCGAAUCCCUCAUUCUCGUACCUAGCUUAAUGUUUGGUUAUGAUUUAGAAGCUUGAACCUUCUAUUUUUACGUAGAUUUUGCUUCGGAAAUCAUUGUGGGUGAGCACACCCAUUUUCCGGCGAACCCAUGGACUUUGGAGGCUUUUCCGGUCACCUCCGACCGAGUUACGGUGUUUGGAAGGUAGAAAUCUCUCUCUAUCUCUUGGUUCUUCAUGUUUGUACCUAGAUCGGAGCUCGAAGCUUUCGUUUUCAAGUGACCGGAGCUGUAGCAGCUCCGGCCUUCUCUCUCGGCAAACCAGGCCAUCCGGCCUUUCCCAUUUCCUCCCCUCGGGCCUUAGGCCCGUGUUGUCUUAAGCCCAAACCCUAGCCCCCUUUAGUUUUUUUUAAGCUUUGUUAAUUGGUUUUUAAAACCCAAAAAUGGCUCGGGCCUUAUAUAAUUUGGCCUUGGGCAGGUUAUAUAUUAAAGGGCUUAAAGCCCUGUCCUUUUUAAUAAGGCCUUAAGGCCUUUGUGUUUUGGUGGUGUGUGUGUGUUUGUGGAGUGUAUAUGUUUGGGCUUAAGCCCAAACCCCAAUUCUCACCUUAAUACCCUUUUAACCCAAAAACCCUAGGUUUCUAAAACCCGUUUAAAACCCUAAACUCAUCCAAUCCCAAAUCCCCUAUUUUAUUUAAUUCAAACCCAAUCUUUUAGAAAAUCCUUUUAUUUAUCUAUUACAUUUUUGUGCUUAGGUAAAGUUGCUAGUGGAGAAAUUCUAUAUCCUUAUUCGUGCGAUUCUUCUGCUAAAGAAUAUUUGUGAGUGGACCCUUUCUAAAAUUACAUGAUUUUAUAAUUUAAUUGCAUAAAUGAUUAGCAUGCCUACGGAUUUACGAACUGAUUUAUGUUAAGCCUGUUUUUGGAAUUUAUUGAUUUCGUCUCGUGUUUUGGUGAGGAAAUAAAUUGCUAGCCUAGUUUGAGCUAUAUUUUAAUAUAUCGUAUUUUCUAUAAAAAUCAUGAACUGGUAGACUAUUCGAUGGAUGACGAUAGGAUGCUAGAACAUGUUUUAGAAACCCCUCUUUAUAGUAUAGACAAUGGAUGACUUUAUACUAUGAAGUGGUUAUUUAUGAUAGGCGUAACUAUUUGUGCGUACCUAGUAGACACUAUGCCGUCUGGGGCGAGGAACUGGUGUUGGCAUUUAGGCCGGGAGAAAUAAUCCCUAGCUACCGGCUGAGGGACAUGGAGCAAGCAUUGGGCCGGGAGUUGGUAAUCUCUGGCUACGGGCGCAGAGACCACGGAACAGGUAUUGGGUCGGGAGUUAUAUUUAUUUAGUGAUCUUUCUAGCAGCACACCGCGUUUACGAGAUGAUUUAUGAUGCGUUUACUGUUUUGAUUUCUGCGAUGAUAUUCCGCGAUGUGAUUUUUGAGAUAUUUGGCAUGCUAGGAUUUUUAUUAAAUUCAUCACUUAUUAUGCUAGUAGUUUUCAUUUAUAUAAACUUUGGGGGUUAGUAUGUUGAUAACUAUUUUAUUAUUAUUGUAUAUAUAAACUUGGUCCACUCACCUUUGUUUUGCGCCCCCAUUCAGGACUUAGGAUCAAGGUACCUAAUCCCGGCGUGAAGGCACUUCCCCAGCAGCAUCUUCGGAUCCUCUCGAAUGUAGGACUCACUCCUUUAUUCAUUAAAUUUUAUCUUAAUUCUUCUUAGUGAUUAGGUUUAGUUGUAUGCUCUGAGCAUGUUCCUAAACCUUUUAACUCUUAGUAUUUUAAAUUUCUAACCCGUAUUUAUUUCUUAUUCUUAGCUUUUGUAUCAAUUAAUGGCUUUCGUCACCCUCGGGUGUCGUCCAUCACGUGUCUAUCCUGGUAUUCGGGGAAUAUCAGGGUCGGGGCGUGUCAAAUUCGGCUGUAGUUUGCUGUCGCCAAUUCAGUGUCUCAUUUGUGUUUGCUCUCUAACUUUUUAACAGCGGUCUAUAAACUUAACUUUUAAUUUAACAGUGCUAUCUUUUCAAAAGACUAAUAUAACAAAUAAAAAGAAAUAAAAGAAAAACAAAAGGUGCCUAACUCUCCAACUACCCAAUUACACUAUUUAAUUGGUGUUAUCACUGUUUAAUUUAACGGUGUUGAAGCAUGUGUCACUAAGUUAGAAAGAAGACAUGGCGAAGACACUAGUUUAUGGACAUCAGACUCCUGGCCCUCAAUUUGUAAAUCAGAUUAAUAGUCUCCGUGGUGAUAGAGUAUUCGGAGGAUAGUUUAUGUAGAUCGUUGAGGUCUUCCGGCGGCUCGACUCCAAGCCCAGCUGUGAUGCAUGCUCCCUCGUCUGCAAGCGCUAGCUCGCCCUCAAGCGCCUCAGCAGCACCGCCCUCUGCAUUGGCGCCACCGGCAGCUCAGACCUCGUCGUCGGCCUCUUCACUGCUAAUUCCGCAACGUCCGCGCCGUUUACCUUGACGAGCACCUUAACCUUUCGUCGAUGAGGCUGCAUUUUGUUUGAGAAAAUGAAUUUCAUUGAUUAAGAGAAUAAAAUUACAAUGUUGUGGUAUGUGUAUAUAUAUAUACACACACACUCUCACAUAACUUUAACCUUCUAAACACCUUGCGACCUAUACAACAAUCUCAACUAAUUACUAAUCUAAUACAACAACCAAAACAAACAAACUAGCUCUAAGUUUUAUCACCAAUUGAAUCUUUAACAAUACUAUCCAAAACAUCCCCCCUCAAACUAAACUGAGGAGUUCAAAGGGACAGUUUGGAUCUUAAGAGCUGAAACCGGUCUUUGGAAAGAGAUUUUGUGCAUAUAUAUGAAAUUUGAUUUUGAGUGCAGAUAAAAUGGACUGAGAUGGCCUUCGAUAACAACUUUUCUUGAAUGUUGUGGUAGUUGAUCUCUACAUGCUUUGUUCUAGCAUGAAACAAAGGAUUUUUGGCAAGAGAGAUAGUUGAUUGAUUAUCACACUAGAGUUGAGGAGUACAUGUGUAACAACCCGUCCUAAAUUUUUACGGAACGAAAGGGUAAUGUUGUAAUUUCAUUUUGGGUUGGGAUAUUGGUUUAAAAUAUUGUUUUUGAGGGCCUUAAUAGGUGUGCCCAAGGGGCCCACCUAUGGAGUUUGUUCGCGACCCUCUCCCUUGUCUCUCUCUCUCUCUCUCUCUCUUUCUUCCCUCCUAUGAGUCUCACUAUCUUUUUCACUUUAUCUCUAUCACUCUUACUUCUCUCCCUUCUCUCUCAGCAAGUACCGAAGGGUGCCAUGGGGGAAAGCACCACCAGAGAAACCACCCAUUUCACCCUAUAGACCUUAUGAGCUCGAACUCGAGCCCUGUUACGUAGGAAAAACCGAGCCGUGAGACUCUAACUCCAAGCUUCGACGAGAACAAAGUUCCCCGACGCGACUUUGAAUGAUUUUGUAACUUUUUUGGUUUGGGUAAGCCUCAAAACACUCCAAAUGCUUAUCUUUUCGUCCCUAUAGUUCUUUUCUAACCACGUUGUUAUGUUUUGGACAUCAAAAUACGAAGAAACACCUCGAAGGAGUAUGUUCAAUGGUUGUGUGCUUAUCUAGUGGUCACUAUACCGCCACGGGUGAGGAUUAUAGUUGUUGGCUGCUGGCUAAGAGAAAUAAUCUCUGGCUACCAGUGCAGAGACAUAAAAGCGGGCAUUGGGUCAGGAGAUAUUAUUAUUGGAUACCACUAUGUAUCACACUAUAUAUGAGAUAUGUUUUAUGAAGGUUUUAUGACAUGCUACGGUUUUCGGAAAACCUAUUACAUAUUAUACUAUUGAAUUUCCAUAAAACUUUGGUGGUUAGUAUGUUGAUAAAAGUUUUAGUAAGUGUGUGUGUAUAUAUAUAUAUCAACUUGGUCCACCCAUGUUUGUUUUGUGCCCCAUCAGGACUUAGAAUCGCGGCGUACAAUCUCGACGUCAAGGCAUUUCCGCUUCGGCAGCUUCGAGUCCUCUUAGUGUAGAACCCAUUCCUUUGCUCCUUCAAUGUUAUAUUAUUUUCUUUUUAGUGUUUUAGAUUAGUUGUAUGCUCCGAACACGUUCAUCAUUUGCAUAUUAAAUAUAAUUAAAUUUAUAAGUCUUAUAUAUUUCGGGUUCUCAUGCAUUCUAAUAUGGCUUUGUCACCUUCAAGUAUCGGCCAGCACGUUCCUACCCUGAUGUUUGGGGAAUAUCAAGGUCGGGCAUGUCAACAAGGAAGAUGGAAACCAAUAUCAGCAAGUAACUGACAUAUCCAUGUAAUUUCGUCUAUAGUAUUAGCUAAAGAUCGAUACUCUGCCUCUGUUGAAGAACGAACCACUGUUGAUUGCUUCUUAGCAUUCCAACUGAUGAUAGAUGAACCCAGAAAAAUACAAUAAGCGCUAGUUGAUCUUCGAUGAAGUGUGCAACCUGCCCAGUCAGCAUCUGAUAAGGCUUUGAGAGAUGGAAUAGAGACAUAUUUUGUAAACCAAAGACCAAUGUCAAUGGAACCCUUAAGAUAUCGAAUGAUCCUUUUGAUAGCUUGAAAAUGAGACUGCCUUAGACUAUGCAUGAAUUGACUGUAAAUGAUAAAUUUGGCCGAGUCCAAGUAAGAUAUUGUAAUGAACCAACCAAAGGUCGAUAUCUGCAGGAUUAUCAAGCAAUGGAGAAGAAAGAUCCAUCUUGGAUGUACUGAGUGGGGUAGCACAUGGUUUUGCUCCAGCCAUGUUAGCCUUCUUUAAUAGAUCCAAGAUAUACUUUGUUUGUGAAAUGAAGAUGCCUUUGGAGGAUCGCUUGACUUCAAUUCCCAGAAAAUAAUGAAGUGCACCAAGGUCUUUAAUAAGAAAGAGAUAGCUAAGUUGAGAAAUAACAUGCUUGCAAGCUGCUGCAGAUGGCCCUGUGACAGUAAUGUCAUCAACAUAUAUCAGAACAAAGACCAUAAGAUCCCUUUUGACAAACAAUGAAUGAUCUAAUUUGGAACCAGUGAAGCCAAAAGUGUGUAAUGCUCCAUGGAGUUUUUCAUACAAGGCUCGGGGAGCCUGUUUAAGACCAUAUAGGGAUUUAUGCAAUUGACAAACAUGAGUAGGAUGAAUAACAUCUUCAAAACCAGGCGGCUGUUGCAUAUAAACAGAUUCAGACAAUGUCUUACGCAGAAAAGCAUUGCUUUCAUCUAGUUAAUUGAGACUCCAAUCAAAUUGGGCAACAAGAGUGAGUAGGAGUCGAAUUGUCACAGGCUGGGCUACUGGACUAAAAGUCUCAGUAUAAUCAAGUCAUUCUUGCUGAUGAAAACCUUUGGCAACUAAGCAAGCUUUGUACCUAUCUAUGGUACCAUCAGGUUUUCUUUUAAUCCUGAAAACCCACUUACAUCCUACAAUGUUUUGAUGAGCAGUUUUGGGUACUAAGGACCAAGUACCAUUUUGUUGUAAGGCAAGAAACUCCUCAUGCAUUGCCUUAACCCAAUGUGGAUAUUUGGAAGCUUGGAGAUAUGUAGUGGGAACAAAUUCAUUGGAAAGAUAAGAAAGGAGAGGAUGUUUGGUUGCAGAAAAUGCUUUUGGUUUGUAAAUACCAGAUUUGGACCUGGUUUGCAUAAGGUGAGUAUUAGUAUGAACCGAGUGAGAUGUAGGUAUAAGAGAUAUAGGUAUAAAGGUUGUUGGAGAAUAUAGGAGAUGAAGAUGAUGGUAUAGGGGAAUAGAUCUGUGGUUAAGUGAAUGUGAGGUGCAUGGGAAUGGUAUUGAGAGAUGAAGCUGCUACUGAGGAAAGAGAGCACUGUGAAGCUGCAAUAGUGUGAAAGGGAAAAUUGCCUUUAUCAAAGAUCACAUUUCGUGAGAUGUAUAACUUGUUGGUAGUGAGAUCCAAACAUUUGUAACCUUUGUGGUUGAGGCUGUAACCAAGGAAUACACAGAGCUUGCUUUUGGGAUCCAAUUUAGACUCAUAGUAAGGUUGCAACCAUGGAAAACAACUACCCCAAAAACCUUCAAGGUGGCAUAGUUAGGUGAUAUGUGGAAGAGACGUUCCUAUGGAGACAAUCUGGAUACAGUAGGUAAUUUGUUUAUGAGAAACACAGCAGUGGAAAAAACAUGAUCCCAAUAGGUGUGAGGGACCUUAGAAACUGUUAAAAGUGUUCUGGCAGUCUCAACUAUGUACAUGUGCUUAGGUUCAGCACAACUAUUCUGUUGAGGGGUGUAUAGAUAACUUAGUCAAUGAUUGAUACCAUUCUCAAUAAAGAAAUUAGAGCAUUGAGUGCUAAGAUAUUCCCCACCAUAAUAUGAUCUAAGAGCAACAAUUUUAGUAUGCAGCAAGUUCUCAACAAGACUUUUGAACUUAACAAAAGUAGGAAACACAUCAGAUUUAUAUUGCAAAGACAAAGCCAACAAUAUUUUGUAAAAUCGUCUACAAAUAUGACAUAGUAUCUGAAAUUGUUCGCAAAAAUGAUAGAUGUUUGCCCCCAAACAUCUGUGUGAAGUAGCUCCAAAGGUUUACUGGUAUGAAAAGUAUCUGAAAUUGUUCACAGAAGUGACAGAUGUUGGCCCCCAAACAUUUGUGUGAAGUAGCUUCAAAGGCUUACUGGUAUGACAAGUUACAUAAGCAAAUGGCAAUCUAGAACUUUUGCUUAAGGCACAACCAUUACAGAAAGACUUAUUGGAACCACUAGAAAAAGAAAUAAAAGACUUAGUAACCAACUUAUUGAGAAUCUUCACCAAAUGAUGGCCAAGUCUUUGGUGCCAAAUAUUUUUGGAUGUGUUAACAGAAGCAGCAAACACAUUGUGAUUAUGGAUCACAAAACUGGAAGGCUGUGGUUGAAAUGGAUAGAAGCCAUCUCUCACAGGACCUUUAAAGAGCAUCUUCCCCGAAGAAAUAUCCUUCACAGUGAAAUGAAAAUGAUAAAGAUGCAUAGAACACCAAUUGUCAACAAGAAACGGAUUUGCAGAAAGCAAAUUUUGUUUCAAAUCAGGAACAUGUAACAUAUUUAGAAGUUGAAAAUUAUGAUGAGGAGUAUUUAAUGUAGAAAAACUAGAGUGGAGAAUAGGCAAACCUUUAAAGAGUGUUGUAAGAAUUGGUCAUGUGAAUACUAGCACCGGAGUCAACAAUCCAAGUAGGUUGAGGAGAAUGUGUGCUUGCAGCCAUAGCAGAAUGAGAAACAUUGCUGGAAUAAUGUGGAUUCAUGCGCUGGGGACACUCGAUUGCAUCAUGUUCAAACUAGCGACAAAUUUGGCAUGGAAUCCUCAUUCCUGAGAAAUUGAAGGAUGAUCAACCACCACAGUUGUAGUGCUGAGAAUUGUUGCGAUAAGAAUUUGGACAAUUGUUGUUAGAACGGAAGUUGCUUCGUCCCUGAAAGUUUCUAGGGUUGGAGAAACCACGAUCACCACCACGACCUUGAGAGAAAUUAUGAUCACCACCACGACCUGGAGGAUUAUGUUAAGCAACAAAAGCCUGAGAAGGCGAAGUAGGAAGAAUGCCGGCGGUGGAGUUGUAUGCCUGAAUUGACAUUGUCGAAGUAGUUUUCUUCCGAUUUGUUAGCUGAAUCUCUUUAUUGAGAAGGAGACCAUGCAGCAUCAAGUGUGGUGGAACCAAGUCAGAAUUGUAUCGCAUCAACAAAAGAUUCGUACUCUGGUGGUAACUCAUGAUGUGUGACAGAGGUUAAUUCAGAAUCCUCAACUGGAGCACCGACACUAGCAAAAGCAUCAGUGAUCUCUUCAAUUUGUUGAAGAUAUUGGGCAGCUGUGGAAUCACCAUUCGAAAUGCUGUGCAGACAUGAUCAGAGCUCGUGGAUGUACAAUUGAGACGUCGUCGCAAGGCGUGACUCCAAUCUUGCCUAAAGCUCUCUGGAUGUAGUAACUCUAACAGUGUAAGGAUGAUCGAUUUAGAGAAUGUGGAAUUGAUCCAAAUGAGGAUGUUCUUAUCGUUCUCGAACCAAUAAACAUAUGCCGGAUUCAGAAUUUGAUUUCCAACAGCAUCAGGGAUGAAUUAAGAUGGAGGAGGCAUCGAUCCAUCAAGAAUUCUAGUGAGAUUAUAGUGAAGGAAGAUCGGAGCAAACAAUGCACUCAAGGUGAGAUAAUUGGUCGGAGUCAGCUUGAUCGGCACCAUGGAUCCGAUAUUCUGGAUUGUGAUUGAAGGUGUGGAAAGAGUAUAACUCGAAUUUGAAAAAGGAUUACGAUGAAUUUGUGUUGCCAAUUUCCAAACUCUCCGAUACAUGAGACCUAUCAGCCUCGAUGGGAUUACUGGGGAAAGUUAAAAUAUAAAUUGCUUUAUUUCUAUCGCAGGCAAUGGCUGUUGUAAAUUAUGGCAUAUAACUUAUUUUCUUAUGUUGUCAUUGCUGGGUAAUUUGUGUAGGUAUAUGCAGAGUUUAGUGUCCAAAGUUCCAAUAAUGGUUGUUGAAGGGAACCAUGAAAUAGAAGAACAGACUGAAAAUAAGACUUUUGAGGCUUAUAGUUCUCGGUUUGCAUUCCAAUCUGAAGAAAGCGGAUCUUUGUCCACAUUCUACUACUCAUUUAAUGCAGGGGGGAUUCAUUUUAUCAUGCUUGGAGCCUACACCGACUUUAGCAAAUCAGGUAAUUAAAGUUUGCCUAAUUUUUGAGCUCAUUCCUUGCCUAAAUAUUCGUAUUUUUGCAUUUCUUUUUCUUUACAAAUGGUUUCGUUAUUGUUUCUAUCCCCAUUAAUCAGUGAUUUCUUUGCCUACAGGGAAACAAUACAAGUGGCUGGAGCAAGAUUUGGCUAAUGUGGACAUAUCUGUUAAAAGUUAAUGCUUUACUGAAACUGAUUCUGUGUAAAAGGGCUGACUGUUGCCUUUAUCAGUCGACCCAUUCUCUUUAUCAGUCGACCCAAUUACUUCAGUCGGCUUAUGUAUUGAGCCAUAUAUAUCAGAAAUAUCUGAAUGAAAAUAUCAGAUCUCAGUUUUAAGUAAAAAGCAUCAGCCCUCUGUUUCCAAAAAAGCUCUGUGCACUUUGUUUCUUUGAUUUUCAAUCUUUAUCAUUUUAUUCAAGUUUUAUUAAUGAUGAAAGAUUGUCUAAAUACCAACAUGGUAUCAGAGCCAAUCUGAUCAAAGAGUGGGGCAUUUUUUUUUUAUUCUCAUAAAAGGGGAAAAUUCCAAGUGAAACCCUAGAAUCAAAAUUUUUCAAAUUCAUGGCUGGUUCAAGCAGCAGUGGUGAGAUUCGAACUCCUAUCUUCAGUGGAGUAAACUACGACUUCUGGAGGACAAAGUUGAGAACAAUUUUUGUAUCUCAUGAUUUGUGGAGCUUGAUUGAAGAUGGCUAUGUUGUACCUCCAAGCAAUGUGGUUUUGACAGAGACUCAAACAAGGGAGUUGAAGGUAAACAUCAAGAGAGAUGCAAAAGCUUUUGGGGUCAUCCAAAAUGCUAUCUCAGAUGAAAUUUUUCCGAGAAUCUCAAAUGAGACAAGUGCCAAAUUAGCUUGGGAUGUGCUGGAGAAAGUCUACAGAGGUUCUACUAAGGUAAGGGCUGUCAAACUUCAAUCUUUGAGAAGAGAUUUUGAGUAUAUAAGAAUGAAAGAUGAUGAAUUGCUAGAUGAUUACCUGAGUAGAUUGUCUGAGAUUAUUAAUCAAAUGAAAAGCUAUGGUGAAAUCUUGUCUGAUGAGAGAAUAGUUCAGAAGUAUCUAAUUAGCUUGCCAAGAAAGUAUGACAACAUAGUUUCAAUCAUAGAGGAGACUAAGGAUUUGUCAACUUUGAGUGUUGAAGAAUUGAUUGGUUCUCUCAAAGGUUUUGCUCAAAGAUUAUCUAGGCAUGACAACAAUGAUGUAGAAAAUGCUUUCCAAACACUUACAGUGAAUCCAAAAACUCAAGCUAGUUCAAGUCAAAGCAAAGCCAACUUCAACAAGAAUUGGAAAGGCAAAAACAAAGCGUGGGAAGGAAAGGGUAAUUUUGAAGACAAGAAAAAGGUUGAGAAGAGUUUGUAUGUUUCGAAGUGCAAAAUUUGUGACAAAGCUCAUUCCGGUGAAUGUUGGUUCAAAGGAAAAGUGAAAUGCCACAAGUGUAGCAAAUUCGGGCAUAUGCAAAAGGAUUGUACCUACAAAGAUAAUCAGCUAGCUCACUACACCAAAGCAGAAGAUGAAGAGACCAAUAUGUUUUAUGUUGGUCAUGAUACAACCGUCCAAGAAGAAGCUAAAGUUUGGUUUUGUGGACAGCGGCUGUAGCAAUCAUAUGACGGCGAAUAAGAACAUUCUCCAUAAUGUUGACACUACAAACCUAACCCGAGUGAAGAUGGGAAAAUGGGCAGCUAGUCGAUACAUUGGGAAGAGGUACUAUUGCCGUGCAUACGAAGAAUGGAAAGAUGUUCAUCAAGGAUGUCAUGUUAGUUCCUGAUUUGAAGCAAAAUUUGCUAAGUCUUGGACAACUCAUUGAGCAUGGCUACUACUUAUAUUUUGGAGACAAUACUUGCAAGAUAUAUGAUAGGAGGAAUCGUCAACAACUCGUGGCUAAGAUUGAGAUAAGGAAGAGUAGAAGUUUUCCUCUCACAAUUGAGUAUGCAACUCAAUCUGCAUUCAAGAUGGAAGUGCAAGAAGAUUCAAAGCUAUGGCAUAAAAGGCUUGGCCACUUGAAUUUUCAAAGUCUCAAGAAGCUACAAGAAAAAGAAAUGGUGCAUGGGUUGCCGAGUAUCCAAGAAAAUGAAGAAAUCUGUGAAGGGUGGGUGUGCACUUAGGAAGCAUCAUAGAGAUUCAUUUCCACAUGGUAAAGCUUGGAGAGCAAAAGUUCCAUUGGAAUUGAUUCAUACAGAUGUUUGUGGACCCAUGAAGACCUCUACUCAAGUGGGAAACAAGUAUUUCCUAAUCUUCGUGGAUGAUUAUUCCAGAAUGACUUGGGUAUACUUUCUAAGACAGAAAUAAGAAGUGUUCUCAAUCUUCAAGAAGUUUCAAGCUAUGGUUGAGCGACAAUCUGGGUAUCUAAUCAAAGUUCUUAGAAGUGACAGAGGAGGAGAGUAUACAUCCAUAGAAUUUGAUAAGUUUUGUCAAGAUAUUGGCUUGGAAAGACAACUUACUGUCAGCUACACUCCACAACAAAAUGGAGUAGCUGAGAGAAAAAAACAGAACCAUAGUCGAAAUGGCUAAGGCAAUGUUACAUGACAAGGGAAUACCUCAAUAUUUGUGGGGUGAGGCAGUUAAUACAGCGGUCUACUUGAUGAAUAGGUAUCCAACAGUGGCAGUUGAAGAUAAGACACCAUUUGAGGCAUGGAGUGGAAGAAAGCCUUCCGUGAAUCAUUUGAGAGUGUUUGGGUCAAUCUGCUUUGCUUAUGUUCCGAAAGAACUAAGACAAAAACUUGAUGAGUCAAGUGAAAGAUGCAUUUUCAUAGGCUAUGCUUCAUACACAAAAGGGUACAGACUCUACAAUUUAAAAAGGAAGAAAGUUGUGGUUUGUAGAGAUGUUAUUUUUAGUGAGAAAUCUUCGUGGGAUUGGAAUCAAGCAACCAUCCGAGAGGAAUCUGCACAAAUCAGAAUUGAAGAAGAAAAUCAACCAAAUGAAGAGGAAAUUGAGCCAGAAAUUCCACAAUUAUCACCUGAAAACAGUCCUCAAGCUCACUCUCCUACACUUUCAAGUCAAGUUCAACGCCGGUUCGGUUAAGGAGCUUAAAUGAAGUCUUUGAAAGCUGCAAUUUUUGUGUUGAAGAACCAGAAAACAUUGAUGAUGCAGUGAAAGAAGAGACUUGGAAGGCUGCAAUGCAAGAGGAGAUCAAUGUCAUUGUGAAAAACAAGACAUGGGAACUAGUGGACAGACCUUGUGGCAACUCGUCAUUGGAGUGAAGUGGAUUUAUAAGACUAAGCUCAAUCAAGAUGGUUCCGUUCAAAGGAACAAAGCUAGAAUGGUAGCAAAGGGUUAUUCUCAGAAACCCGGGAUUGAUUUCCAAGAAACAUUUGCACCGGUAGCUAGGCAUGAAACAAUCAGAGGCCUUAUUUCCGUAGCUGCUCAGAAGGGGUGGUUUCUACACCAACUUGAUGUCAAGUCGGCUUUCCUAAAUGGAGUCCUAAAAGAAGAGGUGUUCGUUGACCAACCUCAAGGAUUUGUUCUUAAAGGACAAGAGCACAAGGUGUAUAAGCUUAAGAAGGCACUUUAUGGCCUGAAACAAGCUCCGAGAGCAUGGUAUGGAGAGAUCGACUCAUAUUUCAAUGAAAGAGGUUUUCAAAGAAGUGAGAAUGAACCUGCCCUCUAUGUCAAAACAGAAGGUAUUUCAGAUAUCCUUAUUGUUUCCUUAUAUGUUGAUGAUUUGGUUUAUACUGGAAGUAGUCGUAAUAUGAUCUUGAAUUUCAAGAAUGACAUGAUGAGGAAAUAUGAGAUGAGUAAUCUAGGCAUGUUGCAUUAUUUUUUGGGAAUUAGUAUCAUUCAAUCAAAUGAUGGUAUCUUUAUUACUCAAAAGAAAUAUGCAAAAACACUUCUAGAAAAGUUCAAAAUGGUUGGUUGCAAGCCUGUUGCAACACCUCUAGUUGUGAAUGAAAAGUUUCAAAGAGAAGAUGGUAGUGGUGAUGCUGAUGAAUCUGUGUAUAGAAGCCUGGUUGGGAGUUUGUUGUAUUUGACAACGACUAGACCCGAUAUUAUGUAUGCUGCAAGCUUGUUGUCCAGAUUUAUGCACAAGCCUACUUGCAUUCACUAUGGAGCUGCAAAGAGGAUCCUAAGAUACAUACAAGGUACACUUGACUUUGGUAUUAUGUAUGAAAGGAAUGUUAAGCCCAAAUUGUAUGGGUUCUGUGAUAGUGACUGGGGAGGUAGUGUGGAUGACUUGAAGAGCACAUCUGGCUAUACUUUUACAUUAGGGACUGGUGUAUUCUCUUGGGCAUCUAAGAAACAGAAAUCAGUUGCACUAUCAACGGCAGAGGCUGAGUAUGUGUCGGCUUCAAUUGCAACUUCUCAAGUAGUGUGGCUGAGAAGAAUUAUGCAAGAUUUUGGUGAGAAACAAGAAUCAGCAACUCAUAUCCUUUGUGACAAUAAGUCAGCUAUUGCCAUGAGCAAGAAUCCUGUCUGUCAUGGUAAAUCAAAGCAUAUUGCUCUGAAGCAUCACUACAUCAGAGGUGCUGUGGAAGACAAGGAAGUGGAUGUGGUCUACUGCAAGACAGAAGAUCAAGUUACUGAUAUCUUCACCAAGGCAUUACCAAAGGACAGAUUCAUCUACCUAAGAGAACUUUUGGGAGUGAAGCAGCAAAGCAUUAAGAGGGAGUGUUAAAAGUUAAUGCUUUACUUAAACUGAUUCUGCUUACUGAAACUGAUUCUGUGUAAAAAGGCUGACUGUUGCCUUUAUCAGUCGACCCAUUCUCUUUAUCAGUCGACCCAAUUACUUCAGUCGGCUUAUGUAUUGAGCCAUAUAUAUCAGAAAUAUCUGAAUGAAAAUAUCAGAUCUCUAUUUUAAGUAAAAAGCAUCAGCCAUCUGUUUCCAAAAAACUCUUUGCACUCUGUUUCUUUGAUUUUCAAUCUUUAUCAUUUUAUUCAAGUUUUAUUAAUGAUGAAAGAUUGUCUAAAUACCAACAAGAUCCAUAACUCCCUGGUUGCUAGAUACUUGGCAUCAUCCCUGGUAUAGUACCUAUGAGGUCCAUUACAGAGAGGCAGAAUGUAUGAGGUUGGAAAUGGAAGAGCUACUGUACUCUUAUGGCGUUGAUAUAGUGUUCAAUGGACAUGUAAGUAACGAUAACCACCAAUGAUUGUCACAAUCUUUGAUAGGUAACAUGUUUCUUUCUUAUAGCCAGAAACUAUGUGGAAGAAGUGGUAUAAGGGUCAUUCGACUGAGGCUUUCUUUCAUACCAGUAACCAGAUAGUGAUAGAAAGCUAGAAGGAACUGCAGUUUAUGCUUUAAACUUUUGAGAAAACAAAUUUAAUAUGAAAUUAAUUGGUACUUGGUUCCCUUAUUGCUAAAACACAUAACACAAACUUAUUUGAAACGCUAUCAGAAACAAUGACCUUAUCUUGAAACUCUUAUCACAGCACUACCAUUUGGUUCCGAUCCCAAGCAUGAUUUUAUUAAGUUGUCCUUAGUGUCUAUGAAUGAUGACAAUUUUCCUCAUUGUAACUAAAUAUCUUCUCGCUUUAAAGUGCACUGAAUGUUCUUCUGUUUUCUUGAAUAAAACAAUAGGUUCAUGCCUACGAGCGAUCGAAUCGAGUUUAUGAUUACAACUUAGAUCACUGUGGUCCUGUAUAUCUCACCGUUGGAGACGAGGGUAAUCGGGAGAAGAUGGCAGUUCAAGAUGCUGACGAACCUGGUCAUUGCCCAUAGCCAUCAAUUACUUCUGAUCAACACCUAGGUGAUGGUGCCUUUUGUGCAGAGAACUUUACCUCCGGCCCAGCAGCAGGUAAAUUUUGUUAGGAUCGGCAACCGGAUUACAGUGCUUUCAGAGAAAGCAGCUUUGGCCAUGGGAUCCUUGAGGUACUCCUUUUUCUAUGUUUCUGUUUGGCAAAUAUCCAGUCUGACAAUGCAUUCAAUUGUCUAUAAACGUUAUACUUUAAUUUGUAUGACCCUACACUACAUAUGAUACAACUUGAAAAUGAUUGAUGGAAAGAUGAGCAUGUGCUUGACUGUCAAUGUGUAUAGAAAGACCACACAUGGGUAAAUGUUAUGGAACCAGUUUAAAUCAUUUUUACCAUUCCACUGCAGUGUCAAGAGAAAAUCACUUAGCACCAAUAUCUGUUUAUACGGAGUGCGAAAAUCCUGUGACUGACUUGAAUACCCUUGAUCGGUUAUUGAGUAGCAAACAUAUAGAUGUAGGCUAGUAGGCUACCUGGAUUAUACACUAAGCGUGCAUUUUGAUGUGCAUAACUUGCAGGUGAAGAAUGAGACUUGGGCUUUGUGGACAUGGUACCAGAACCAGGACUCCGACAAUAAAAUUGGAGAUCAAAUUUAUAUAGUGAGGCAGCCUGAUAAAUGCUGCAUCCACCAUUUGUUCGAAAGUUGGCUUGCUGACCUCUAAUUCUCACUGCUGCUUGCUGGGAAAAAUUUAUUAUUAAGAUCCCAAAUCAAUUGACCAUUCUUAUCUGUUAGUUUAUAAGUGUAUAUGCUGAAAUAUAAUAAGAAGUCAGCUUUAAAUAUCAGCCCUUGGAUCAUAGUCCAAGUGUGCAGCUAAGAUGUAAUCUUAGAUUAAGUAAUAUUUGCUCUUGCUACAUGUGCUUAGUGUGUGCGUAUGAAUCAAAUAGAGUGCAGAGUCUUUUCUUCUUCUUCAAGCUUAACUCUCUCUUUCUCUAAAACUCUCAUCUUCCUCUUCUUCAGUACUCAUAGAUUGAUUGAAACUUAUAUACAAGAUUAUAGUCUGUAUGCUAACAUGGCCUCAGAGCCAGGUUUGAUCAAUUGAUACUGGGCGUUUAGAUCUGUGAAGAGUGUUACCCAGAAAUCGAGUCGAUUAUGAUCUGAGUCUAACAUGGCAGGAUCGGGUAGUAGUGAGGUGAGAACACCGAUUUUCAAAGGUGAUAAUUAUGAGUUCUGGAGUAUUAAGAUGAAAACGAUUUUCAAAUCUCACGGACUGUGGGAUCUGGUUGAGAAAGGUUUCGAGAGUUCAGAUUCGAAGGAUGAUGGUGAAUCUGAUGGAAAGAAGAAAGAAAAUGAGGAGUCGAGCAGUAUUGAGAAGCUAUCUCUAGCUGAGAGACUGAUGAAAGAUGCUAAAGCUAUGGGUCUGAUUUAAGGAGCUGUUUCAGAUGAAAUAUUUCCUAGAAUCUCUUAUGAAGAAACCUCAAAAGGCGCAUGGGAUACUCUGCAACAAGACCAUGGUGAUAAACAGGUUAGAAAUGUUAAAUUGCAAGGUCUUCGUAGGGAAUUUGAAUAUACAAGAAUGCGAGAUGAUGAAUCACUUUCUGUUUAUCUUACAAAGUUAUUUGAUCUGAUAAAUCAAAUGCGGAGUUAUGGAGAGGAGUUAUCUCGAGAGAGGAUUGUUCAAAAGUUAUUGAUUAGUUUGCCAUCAGCUUAUGAUUCUAUAUGCUCUGUUAUUGAACAUUCGAAGGAUUUGGAUGUGAUUGAGGUACAAGAAGUAGUGGCUUCCUUGAAGAGUUUUGAGCUACGUCUAGAUAGACAUUCUGAGCACAAAACUGAGAAAGCAUUUGCUAGUCUCAAUGUGAAUCCCAAACCAGCUAAAUUCACUGGAAAUCAAAGUGCAAGGUACCAUAAGAAUUGGAAAGAAAAAGGGAAGAGGUGGGAUAACAAACCCACUGAUGGUGCUAGAAAUCCUUGUAAACAUUGUGAUAAGCUACAUUUUGGUGAGUGCCGAUUCAAGGGUAAACCAAAGUGUUAUAACUGUGAUAAGUUUGGUCAUCUUGCAAGGGAUUGUAAUAGCAAGAAACCAGUGCAACAGCUCAAUUAUGCAAAUAAGGUAGAAUCUACACCCACCAUGUUUUAUGCUAGUAAUCAAAUUAAUACUAGUGUAAAGGACUGUGAUGAUGUAUGGUAUGUAGAUAGUGGGUGUAGCAAUCAUAUGACUGGAAGGGAGGAUUUACUUGUGGAUAUUGAUAAGAAUGUAACUGCAAAAGUUGAAAUGGGUACUGGACAGCUUGUUGAUGUAACUGGUAAAGGGAGUCUUGUAGUUGAAACUAAACUAGGCAAGAGAUAUAUAAAGGAGGUUAUGCUUGUGCCUGGACUGAAAGAAAAUUUGCUCAGUGUGGGUCAAAUGAUGGAGCACGGUUAUUAUUUGGUGUUUGGAGGUCACAAGGUGGAAAUCUAUGAUGAUAGCUCAUAUUCCAACAUGGUUGCUAAAGUUCCAAUGAAGGGAAAUCGAAGUUUUCCAAUGAAAUUACAGACUGGAAUACAUAUUGCUUUCAAGGCAAAUGUAUGUGCUUCUACUACUAUGUGGCAUAAAAGAUUGGGACACCUAAACAUGAGCAGUUUGAAAUUGAUGCAGGAACAAGAAAUGGUAGUAGGAUUACCAGAAAUCAAAGUAGUUAAAGGAGUAUGUGAAGGUUGUGUUCUCGGCAAAUAAUGUAGAGAAGCAUUUCCAAGGGAAGCUAAUACUAGAGCAUCAAUUCCUCUAGAGCUUGUGCAUAGUGACAUUUGUGGUCCGAUGCAGACAACUACAAAAGCUGGCAAUAGAUAUUUUCUUACUUUCAUAGAUGACUGCACCCGGAUGUGUUGGGUUUAUUUUUUAAGGGCAUAAAUCUGAAGUUCUCAGUGUGUUUUUAAAAAGUUCAAAGCCACUGUGGAGUUGCAGAGUGGUUAUAAUCUAAAGCAGCUUAGGAGUGAUCGAGGAGGUGAAUACACUUCAAUGGAGUUUAACAAGUUUGUUGAAGAUGUAGGCAUGGAAAGACAACUUACCACUCCAUACACACCACAGCAAAACGGUGUGGCAGAGCGAAAGAACAGAACCAUUGUGGAAAUGGCUAAGUGUCUCAUGUUGGAGAAGGACAUCCCACUUGAAUCUUGGGCUGAGGCAGUUAAUACCUCAGUGUAUAUUCUGAAUAGAUGUCCAACUAAAGCUUUACAUAAGAAGACACCUUUUGAAGCUUACAGUGGGAGAAAACCAGGAAUUAAGCAUCUAAAGGUGUUUGGUUCUUUGUGUUAUGCUCAUGUGCCAAGUCAAUAGAGACAAAAAUUCGAUUUGGCAAGCAAGAGGUGUAUUUUCUUGGGAUAUGGUAGUUGUGAGAAGGGAUAUAGACUUUAUAACAUUGAAUCUGGAAAGGUGACUAUUUCCAGAGAUGUUGUGUUUAAUGAAGAAGCAUGUUGGGAUUGGAAUGCACAGAAGGAAAGAAGGGAGAGUAUCCAGAUCAUUGAAAUGUCUGAAGGAGAACAAAACUGUGAAGGAGGUGCUUGUGAUUCUGAAACACUCAGUGAAGAGAAUGUUGGGCCAAGCUUAGUUACUGAGCUCUCUGAUCAAGAAAGAAUGACAGGUCCACAGGAUUUUGAUCACACUCCUCUCAAGUACAAAAACAUUGCAGAAAUAUAUGAGAAGUGUAAUCUGUGCAUUAUAGAACCCGAAUGUUUUGAAGAAGCUGCCAAGGAUGAAUCAUGGCAGAAGGCUAUGGAAGAUGAAAUUUCUAUGAUUGAGAAGAAUCAUACUUGGGAUCUUGUUGAUAGACCAUUUGAUAAACCAAUCAUUGGAGUCAAAUGGGUUUAUAAAACAAAACAAAAUCUGGAUGGUUCAGUGCAGAAAAACAAAUCACGGUUGGUUGCAAAAGGUUACUCUCAGAAGCCUGGAAUCGAUUUUAAUGAAACUUUUGCACCAGUGGCAAGACUUGAUACUGUGAGAACUUUAGUGGCCCUUGCUGCACAGAAAUGAUGGAAAUUUUUCAGUUAGAUGUAAAGUCUGCAUUUCUAAAUGGAGUGUUGAAUGAAGAGGUGUAUGUGGAUCAACCAUCUGGUUUUGUUAUACAGGGCAAAGAAGACAAAGUGUACAGGCUCAGGAAAGCUUUAUAUGGUUUGAAACAAGCUCCAAGAGCUUGGUAUGAAGAAAUAAAUUCCUAUUUUGUAAAGGCUGGAUUCCACAGAAGUCCGAGUGAAGCUACUCUUUAUAUCAAGACAUCUCACAGUGGCAUUCUCAUUGUGUCACUAUAUGUAGAUGAUAUUAUCUACACUGGAAGUUCAAAGGAGAUGAUAGCAGAGUUCAAAGGUGAGAUGAUGAGACAAUAUGAGAUGACUGAUCUAGGAUUACUUCAUCAUUUCCUUGGUCUUGGGGUACUGCAGACAGAUAAUUACAUCUUCUUGCAUCAAAAGAAAUAUGCAAAGACUUUGCUUGAGAAAUUUGGACUUAGGGAUUGCAAGCCGGUUGCAACACCAUUAGCUAUGAAUGAAAGACUUACAAAAGUAGAUGGAAGUGAUCUGGCAGAUGAGACUUUAUAUAGACAAAUGGUGGGAAGUUUGCUAUAUUUGACAGCAACAAGGCCAGAUAUUAUGUUUGCAGCAAGCUUAUUGGCUAGGUUUAUGCACAAUCCUACCAAGAAGCAUAUGGGGACAGCUAAGAGAGUUCUGAGAUACAUACAAGGCACUGUGAACUAUGAAGUUGUUUAUGAGAAGGGAAAAUGAGUAGUGUUGGUUGGUUAUUGUGAUAGUGAUUGGAGUGGAAGUGAAGAUGAUAUGAGGAGUACAUCUGGCUAUGCAUUCAAUCUUGGUUCUGGUGUGUUUUCUUGGGCCUCAAUCAAACAAAGCAGUGUUGCUUUUUCAACCGCAGAGGCAAAAUACAUCAGUGCAGCAGAAGCUACUGCACAGGCCAUUUGGCUAAGAUUUGUACUCUCUGAUUUCGGGGAAGAACAAGCAGAACCAACUAAGUUGUUGUGUGAUAAUACUUCAGCAAUUGCCAUAUCAAAGAAUCCAGUUCAUCAUCACAAAACCAGGCACAUUAAUCGGAAAUUUCAUUUCAUCCGAGAUGCACUUCAAGAUGGUGAAAUUGAUCUGGUAUACUGCAAGACUGAAGAGCAGAUUGCAGAUAUAUUCACUAAAGCUUUGGCAAGGGAUCGAUUUGAAUUACUGAGGACAGCUUUGGGAGUGAUUUCAGCACAUCACUUAGAAGGGAGUGUUAGUUUAUAAGUGUAUAUGUUGAAAUAUAAUAAGAAGUCAGCUUUAAAUAUCAGCCCUUGGAUCAUAGUCCAAGUGUGCAGCUAAGAUGUAAUCUUAGAUUAAGUAAUAUUUGCUCUUGCUACAUGUGCUUAGUGUGUGUGUAUGAAUCAAAUAGAGUGCAGAGUCUUUUCUUCUUCUUCAAGCUUAACUCUCUCUUUCUCUAAAACUCUCAUCUUCCUCUUCUUCAGUACUCAUAGAUUGAUUGAAACUUAUAUACAAGAUUAUAGUCUGUAUACUAACAACUAAUAUAGAGACGACCGCUGAGUUCCAAUUGAAAACAAGUGGGCCCAACGUCAGCCGACCUCUGAGUUUCAAUCACCGAUGUGGAUCUCCACGUGUGAACCACUAAAUGAGGUUACACGUGAGGGGGAGUGUUAAACUGUCCCACAUCGGUGGGGUGAAGAAAACCAAAGGGGUUUAAAUAGUAUUACCCCACUCUAACUAAUACCGAGGCCUUUUGUGGUAAAACCCCACACCUGAGGAUUGUGCAGGUGGUUAAGUGGGGACAGUAUCGGUGUCGUUAGAGUGGGGCGGGCCCAGCGAUCCAAAAAUUCCAACAUUAUCUAGAUAGGAAUAGGAUGGAAGGUUGCAGAAAGAGUAGGAAGAUGGGGUUUCACCUAUGUAUACACACUAUAUAUAUAAGAGGAGGGGGUUGGGGGGGGUAGGGGUGGGGGGUGGGGGGGGGCGGGGAGAGAGAGAGAGAGAGAGCAGAAGAAGAGCAACUCCGCUGUUGUUGUAUGUAAAUGAUAAAAUCUCGUUUAUACGUCUCCUUUGUAACUUGAAUAUAUACUCUCUCAACCAGUUUAUACAACAACAAACGUGUAAGAUUGGUUCCUGGAGCAAUUUCGGAUAUUGAAUUCUAAACUAAUUGCGUAUUUUUGUUGAGUUAUCAAAAAAUUUCCCCUCCCCUUAUUGUGAAGCCGAGAAAUUGUUGGAAGUGACUUUUAUACUGUCACAUGGUGUUACCAGUUCACUGAUGUUAUGGUGGUACUGCUUAAAAGGGUGGCGUUUCGACAAAAUCCUUAGCUCCCGAGCUCACAAUGCACCCCGUCCAUAAGUCAUUCGGAGUUUGGACGGAACGAUGAGGUUCGCUACUACCUCCGUACAAAAAACCUUCAACAACUUCCCGUUCAUUGUAUUCUCCAUUAAAUUCCAGGCCAGGGGUUCCACCUCCAUCUCAUAGAGAUUAUCAUCACCUGUUGUUUCUGUGAAUAAUGUAAAUUUCUUACCAAAACAUUUGUAAUAUUGUGCCAAUUAUAUUAUAUAUUUGCAGGAUGCAUAGCAAUUUGGUGUCAGUAAAACUUUGUCUGCCGCAUAUUUGAUCAUGUUUUAACUUCGGAAUUUCAUGGUCUUGUUAAUUUUGACGGAUUUUGAAAGGCUUUUAAAACAAAUUAGAAUCAAACUUUCGAAUUUACUACCCCAAACAAAUUGCACUGCAAAUUACCAUAAUCAGAAUUCAUCAGGUCAUGUACGUACUACAUAACAUUUACUUAGGAUAUGAAAUGGUGAGAUCGAUAAAUUCGAAAUCAUCAUUAUAUUGUUGUUCUUAUUACAUUAAUAUAGAUAUAUGUAGCCACUAUAUAUACCUAUUAGAGUGAAUACGAUACCAAUGCCCCACAAUUUGUUGUCCUGACACAAUCGACCGGAUUCGCUGCGUUGUAGUCAAAACAGAUGACGACUUCCUGCAGAUACGCGAUCCCCCCGUCCUUCUUGCACAUAAGAAGAGGUGUUUUCCCUCCUAUAGUCCGUCGAAUGGCCGAUUCAAGGUCGAUGUAAUGAUAUUGAUAUCCUGGUACAAUCCCAGUUGUUUGAGAAAAUAGAUGUUGUGCAUUGUAGGUCAACCAUAAUCUAUGAGCUUCGUGGAAGUAUUGUGUCUGGGAAAAUUUAUUGUCCGAGCACCUGCCGUGCUUGUUGUACUCUUGCGCCCAGAAAUCCAUAUUUGUCCGUCUAUUGUUGAAG